UUUAUAAAAAUCACAACGCACUACCUACCAGGCAUAAUAGAUGGUUGCGACCAUCUUCCGUUUUUGGAUUCUGGAAAAAAGAAGCAACUAGUUAUUGCACUAAUUUAUUUUGUUACAGAUAAUCAAAGUAUCUUGCUAAACUCACCCCAGAAACAAUACAAAGGACAAUCGUCAGGGUCAAACGGGGUCGCUGAAAAACGGAGACAAUCAUAUAAUCAAAGAGUAUGAAAAUACCUUUUUUGGAAUAAAUGCAUAUAACCUAUUGGUAUUAUAUAGGUGUCAAGGCAUUUGUUUACGAACCGUGCUAUUUUUAGACGCACGGAUUAGCCAAUCAGAUUUGCCCUUUGUGUUGAGGCUUUGGCUGAACUCACUUUACUUUCACUUUCGUUGUUCUCUUCAUCUAUAUGAACUUUUAGCAUUUUUUUGGUAAACAAAACAAAACCGACAGAUGAUGGAUACGAACAAAUUUCUUCCUAGCUGCGAUUUGUGAGUGCAGCCUCGUGUCACUCGCGCGACUAACGUCAUUUAUUUAAUUUCGAUGGACCAAGGGGCAGCGUUAUAAUUACAUGUGGUGCAACGAUAGAUAAUACCUAUCUUUGACGGGCGUUCCAAAUAGAGCAGGAAAUCGUCAGGGCACACAAGACCAAGGUCACUUAGAAACAGUUCUGGAACCUACAAUAACAACCAGUACACGGGGCUUAGUAUACUCUGGUAUCAGAAAUCUAAAAACUUGUAAGCUUCUGCUUGUAUAGCUCGUACACAAUCUUUAUCUGCUUGUAUAGCUCGAACACAAUCUUUAUCUCUUUAAAAGGGAAAGAUAACAUGACCACAGUGUUAAGUGCUCCCAAUAAUUAUUUUUUUAAGAUCGCUUGAAAAACCUCAGGUACACAAAUAACAUCAUCAGACAGUUUUAACUUCCAGAAUCCUUGGCUUGUGAAUCCCCAAUAAAAGAACUAUCAUGCCUUUUUAAGGUUCAAUUGCCUUAUUUUCAGUUGUAUACUAAGUCUAAGAGCCUUACACUUUAGCUACACUCACUUGCUUGGCCUUGAUGGGCAUUGCAACUGGUUUAGCGGAGAAGCGCCCAUCCUCGAAAUGCACAACUAGUAGCUAUAGGUUGGGGUACAAGAAUGGUAGUGUAAAAAAUCAUUAUCUGAUGUCGCUUUAAACCAGCUUUAAUAAAUGAAUGUACUAAUUAAUAAAGGAUAUGCAAAAACGUAGAAUAAAUGGGGGUAGAGUAAAAAAGCAUACUUUAUAGUUAUGCUCCAGUAGGUAGAAAUGUCGAGGCGAAGAUACGACGUUGAUCUUUGCUCCACUUUCAAGUCUGCAGGCUUAGAGGGAAGGCAACAAGUCAUCAUUGUGAAUCACAAAAAAUGACUCGAAAAUGAACACUGUAACCUUUGCUACUAGCCCAUCCAUACUGUUGGUCAAAUAAAGUUUUCCCCAGUGACAUA